rnacentral:rRNA from 1 species
UACGUAGGGGGCAAGCGUUGUCCGGAUUUAUUGGGCGUAAAGAGCGUGUAGGCGGCCGUACAGGUCAGCUGUGAAAACUCGAGGCUCAACCUCGAGACGUCGGUUGAAACCGUACGGCUAGAGUCCGGAAGAGGAGAGUGGAAUUCCCGGUGUAGCGGUGAAAUGCGCAGAUAUCGGGAAGAAUACCCGUGGCGAAGGCGGCUCUCUGGGACGGUACUGACGCUGAGACGCGAAAGCGUGGGGAGCGAACAGG